AUUGAACGCUGGCGGCAGGCCUAACACAUGCAAGUCGAGCGAGCGGCGGACGGGUGAGUAAUGUAUGGGGACUGCCCGAUAGAGGGGGAUAACUACUGGAAACGGUGGCUAAUACCGCAUACUAUCGGAUAACCCAUAUGGGAUUAGCUAGUAGGUGGGGUAAAGGCUCACCUAGGCGACGAUCCAUAGCUGGGCUGAGAGGAUGAUAAGCCACACGGGGACUGGGCCACGGCCCAGACCCGUACGGAGGGAGCAGGGGGUAAUGUUGGACAAGGGGCGCAAGCCUGAUGCGGCCAGGCCGCGUGUAGGAAGAAGGCCUUAGGGUUGUAAAGUACUUUCAGCGGGGAGGCGUUAUUCGCAGAAGAAGCACCGGCUAACUCCGUGCCAGCAGCCGCGGUAAUAC
rnacentral:rRNA from 1 species